rnacentral:rRNA from 1 species
AUUGAACGCUGGCGGCAGGCCUAACACAUGCAAGUCGAACGAGCGGCGGACGGGUGAGUAAUGUAUGGGAAACUGCCUGAUGGAGGGGGAUAACUACUGGAAACGGUAGCUAAUACCGCAUACCAUCGGAUGUGCCCAGAUGGGAUUAGCUAGUAGGUGGGGUAAAGGCUCACCUAGGCGACGAUCCCUAGCUGGUCUGAGAGGAUGAUCAUCCAGACUGGAACGGAGACACGGUCCAGACUCCUACGGGAGGCAGCAGUGGGGAAUAUUGCACAAUGGGCUCAAGCCUGAUGCAGCCAUGCCGCGUGUAUGAAGAAGGCCUUCGGGUUGUAAAGUACUUUCAGCGGGGAGGCGUUACCCGCAGAAGAAGCACCGGCUAACUCCGUGCCAGCAGCCGCGGUAAUUC